AUUCAACGGUCGCCUCAACUUAACGUUUAAUCGGAGCCUCGACGGAUCUGGCCAGUGGUCGUGUGAACACUCGGUGUAGGAAGCAGAGUGGUGUCAAAUGAAGCUAAUUCUGAUAACGCUUAUGGACCACCGCGGUUGGGAAUGGUGAUGGUGUGACGCACACGGAAGUGUACGGCCUCCAUGACCCUCUGCCUCUGCAACUCCCCACUCGGACCGAUGGCCAUGGUAGCCAUGUUACUGCUGGAG